GACGAACGCUGGCGGCGUGCUUAACACAUGCAAGUCGAACGGAAAGGCCCUGCUUUUGUGGGGUGCUCGAGUGGCGAACGGGUGAGUAACACGUGAGUAACCUGCCCUUGACUUUGGGAUAACUUCAGGAAACUGGGGCUAUUACCGGAUAGGAGCUCCUGCUGCAUGGUGGGGGUUGGAAAGUUUCGGCGGUUGGGGAUGGACUCGCGGCUUAUCAGCUUGUUGGUGGGGUAGUGGCUUACCAAGGCUUCGACGGGUAGCCGGCCUGAGAGGGUGACCGGCCACAUUGGGACUGAGAUACGGCCCAGACUCCUACGGGAGGCAGCAGUGGGGAAUAUUGCACAAUGGGCGGAAGCCUGAUGCAGCAACGCCGCGUGCGGGAUGACGGCCUUCGGGUUGUAAACCGCUUUCGCCUGUGACGAAGCGUGAGUGACGGUAAUGGGUAAAGAAGCACCGGCUAACUACGUG
rnacentral:rRNA from 1 species